rnacentral:rRNA from 1 species
UAGGGAAUCUUCGGCAAUGGACGAAAGUCCGACCGAGCAACGCCGCGUGAGUGAAGAAGGUUUUCGGAUCGUAAAACUCUGUUGUUAGAGAAGAACAAGGACGUUAGUAACUGAACGUCCCCUGACGGUAUCUAACCAGAAAGCCACGGCUAACUACGUGCCAGCAGCCGCGGUAAUACGUAGGUGGCAAGCGUUGUCCGGAUUUAUUGGGCGUAAAGCGAGCGCAGGCGGUUUCUUAAGUCUGAUGUGAAAGCCCCCGGCUCAACCGGGGAGGGUCAUUGGAAACUGGGAGACUUGAGUGCAGAAGAGGAGAGUGGAAUUCCAUGUGUAGCGGUGAAAUGCGUAGAUAUAUGGAGGAACACCAGUGGCGAAGGCGGCUCUCUGGUCUGUAACUGACGCUGGGGCUCGAAAGCGUGGGGAGCAAACAGG